rnacentral:tRNA from 1 species
UGGCUCAGAGGUUAAAGCGUCUGCCUCCAAUGCAGGAGACCCGGGUUGGAUCCCUGG